GAUUCUGGUUCAGAUGAUCGGGAGUGGGACCCAGGUGCAAGAAUACUGGAGCGUGUUGCCAUGCCUUCCUCCAGGGGAUUUUCCCACCCCAGGGAUCGAACCAUGUCUCCUACGUCUCCUGCACCGUCCGGCUGCCACUCUGGACUUGGGCACAAGAUUUGCUGUGGCCCUUGACCCCUGAGUCAGUCUCACACUGCGGAAAGAAGCAGCAGCUUGGAGCUAGAAGAUCUCAAUUCCAGACCAGUUCCACCCACUCUCUGAGGCUUAGUUUCCUCCCGAGGAUCAAUGAGAUGAAAGUGCUGUGUGAAGCAAUAUUAACUAUAAGGAAUAAUAUUCUACGGAGUUCAUCUCUUCAAUUAACCUGUGGAUCCCUAAUUACCCACAUGUAUUUUGCAAGUAAAAUCCAACUUUUUCAAGUAGCAUAUUCACCAUAUGCAACUGAAAUAUGCAAGCCGGGUUAUGCAAAUGGAAAAAGAAUACAGAUUUAAGUAAGCCUAUUACUCACAGGAGACUUGUGUAUUCAUGAUGCGUUUGGUUUAAAACCAUUAAAAAUUUUAUUCUGUUUAAUGCAUGGUCCUUUUGUGUUAUUGGAGCUCAAUUUGAAUAAGCUAUCUCACUAUUUAAAAUUUUUGACAAGAAAUUAAAACUUUCAUAUGAAAUUUACAGGGUUUACAUGACUGUGAAACUGAGUUAAAUGGGUUGAGAAAUACAGAAGGAGUAAUAGUCUGAAAACGCAGGGUCAAUCGGGAAACUGAAUGUAGAAGUUUAUUUUUCAGGUCAUUAAACAUAACCUAAUGAUAGGCCUGUUAUUUUUGUGUUUUACUGGUGACUUCCUAAUCUAUAAAUUACUUUUUCUUCAUCUGUAAAACAAAAAAAAAUUGACUUUUAGGGACAUUCAAAUCUGUAGAAAUUAUUAAUACUUCAUUUACAUUCUUACAUGAGGAGCAUCUUUAGGAGAAUUACAUCCUAUAGCUUAAGUAAAAGUCAGUAUCUCAUUUUUUUCAUUGGUUAAGAAAAAAACCUUCCUUUAGGAAAGGGCAGAUUUACUAAAAGUUUAGAAUUCGUUGGCAAAUUUGACUAUAUAAUGUGGCAUAUGGACUUUGUGACUUUGCUGAGACAGACUUCAGGUAGCUGUAUUUCUGUAACAAAUGAGAUUCUAAUUUCAAACAUUUUUCAAAUGCAAAUCAGGCCUUCAUGAAUCAUUUUGAUGAUUUUUUGAGGCAUUAAUGUAACAGAGUUAGUAUUUUUGAAAUGAUCCCCAAAGUCACCUCUUUGCUAAGGAUAUCUCUCUUCUUGAUUAUUUCGAAACUGUCAACAUUGUCUCUAACCUUCACACAGAAAAUGACUGAUCUCCAAAUGACCUAUUAUUAUC
ensembl:lncRNA